UCCAACUUAUCGCUGGCGGUCUCCUGCGAGUUGCGCCUUUCGGCAUGCCAACACAGGACGAGGGUUGCGCUCGUUGCGGGACUUAACCCAACAUCUCACGACACGAGCUGACGACAGCCAUGCAGCACCUCGACUCCAGUCCCUUGCGGGAAGGCCGUGUUUCCACAGCUGAUCCGAAGCCGUUCGAGCCCAGGUAAGGUUCUUCGCGUUGCGUCGAAUUAAACCACAUGCUCCACCGCUUGUGCGGGCCCCCGUCAAUUCCUUUGAGUUUCAACCUUGCGGUCGUACUCCCCAGGCGGGGUACUUCCUGCGUUAGCGCCGGCACCCAGAGGGUCGCUCCCCCAGGCACCUAGUACCCAUCGUUUACGGCGUGGACUAC
rnacentral:misc_RNA from 1 species